AACGAACGCUGGCGGCAUGCCUAACACAUGCAAGUCGAACGAGUCCUUCGGGUCUAGUGGCGCACGGGUCCGCAACCCGGGGGAACCUGCCUUUAGGUUCGGAAUAACUCCCCGAAAGGGGUGCUAAAACCGGAUCAUGUCUCCGGUCCGUAGAUUUAUCGACUUUGGCUGGGCUCGCGUUGGAUUAGUUGCUUGGUAGGGUAAAAGCCUAUCACGGCGACGAUCCAUAGCUGGGUUGUGAGGAUGAGUAGCCACACUGGGACUGAGAAACGGCCGAGAAUCCUGCAGGAGGCAGCAGUGGGGAAUAUUGGACAAUCGGCGAAAGCCUGAUCCAGCAAUGACGCGUAAGUGAUGAAGGCCUUAGGGUAGUAAAGUUCUUUUACCCGUGAUGAUAAUGACAGUACCGGGAGAAUAAGCUCCGGCUAACUCCGUG
rnacentral:rRNA from 1 species